rnacentral:other from 1 species
AAGACUCCGCUUGGAAAGACCAAGUUUCUUGACUAACACUUUAAAAACGGGAAUCCAUCUUUGGGCAGCGCGUGCAUGCCGUCCCUGUAGGCGGACUUUCAAACUGUUCAAGUGGACAACCACCAAUAGCUGUACGAGUUCAAGAAAAAUGGUGCCAAGCGGAGUUCCU